rnacentral:rRNA from 1 species
AUUGAACGCUGGCGGCAUGCCUUACACAUGCAAGUCGAGCGGCAGCGCGGGGGCAACCCUGGCGGCGAGCGGCGGACGGGUGAGUAAUACAUCGGAACGUGUCCUUUCGUGGGGGAUAACCAGUCGAAAGACUGGCUAAUACCGCAUGAGAUCUCACGAUGAAAGCGGGGGACCGCAAGGCCUCGCGCGAUUGGAGCGGCCGAUGUCGGAUUAGCUAGUUGGCGGGGUAAUAGCCCACCAAGGCGACGAUCCGUAGCUGGUUUGAGAGAACGACCAGCCACACUGGGACUGAGACACGGCCCAGACUCCUACGGGAGGCAGCAGUGGGGAAUUUUGGACAAUGGGCGCAAGCCUGAUCCAGCCAUGCCGCGUGUGUGAAGAGGGCCUUCGGGUUGUAAAGCACUUUCGGCCGGAACGAAAUCGCGCGGAUUAAUAACCCGCGUGGAUGACGGUACCGGAAGAAGAAGCACCGGCUAACUACGUGCCAGCAGCCGCCGUAA